rnacentral:lncRNA from 1 species
GUAGCAACCCAUUAAACUGAUUUCAUGCACCAUAGUUGAAAAGUAUUGCUUUAUAGUUCACAUUUACUUAAUUCCCAUUUAAUUCUCCCUGUUACCUUCUGAGAUAGGAAUUAUCAUCUCCAUCUUACAGAAAAUAAAAGUGAUUCUCAAUCUUCAUUCUCUGGAUCCAGUUUCUCUCUCUUUUACUCUUUUAAUCAAGAAGGACAAGAACAGGAAGAAUUAAGAAGCUCCAAAAGGCUGGGUCAAAGGGGAAAAGUCCCAGAGGCAAAGCAAUCAAGGAGAACCAUGGGGAAAAUAGAAAAAUCAACCAAUGGGACCAAGGCUGUAUGCUGGGGAUUGUGUAAUUUAAAGACGCCCUUUGUCUCUCUUGUGCAACCGGCCAUAAAAUCCUCAUGGGAGCCAUGGUGAGGAGCUUCUUCUGGGAGGAGCCGGAUUCUUCAUCCGGUGGCCAAAGCAGACUUGGAGCAAAAGUUGUGCUGGAGCCUUCUAAGUUGCUAAUGUCUAGAUCACAACCAUGAACUUGAAACUCCAGCUUCCAGAUUUGUGGGGGUAUGUACCUGGCAUUGCAGAAGGAAAGAGUGUGGCUAAGACUCAAAUCCACAUCCAACUGGAUCUGCCCAGGCUGGCCUGUGAAACCUCAUUACUGAGGAUCACUGUUGUUCAACUUGUCGCAAAAGUUCCAUGUCUCCUCCACUGGCACAGAUCAGAGAGGACAAGAAGACACAGAGGCUAGCCCAGGGAUAUCAGCUGAGAACAGAUAUGGAGCAGAUUUGGAGAUUUAAGACUGAUGAACUUUGCUUCUACUUGAACUAAUCACCUGAGUCUAAUUGUAUCAUUUCUAAUCAGUCUUGUUGCAGCUUUAUGGGCUGGGGCAGGGAAGCUAGUUGCAGCCUAGACAGCCCAGCACAGCCCAGUGAGGCCUUCUCUCAUCCCACCUCUGGGCUAUAUUCUCCAAUGGUUCAGUCUGUCACUGUCUCUUGUCUCUUUCGCUUUGUGUUCUUUACCUCCAGAUUCCUCAAAAGAACUAAGACAAGUGCAUAACUUUUUACAAGGCCUCCAGCAAAGAUUUCAAGCAUCUGCUUUAGUGGCUUUCUGCUUUCUCUGAAGGCAGUUGUUCCUGUGUGAUACAAACACAGUUGUUGCAUAAUGUUGAAAGCCAGUGAGUCUUAGAUUAGCAUCGCAAAAGUCAAUUAACGAGGCAAUUUCUUCCCUUGAUUUGUAUUUGUAUAUUAUUAAUGAAUUACAGGAUCUCCUAGAGCAGUAAAUUAGCCUAGGU